UUCUCUUAGUGCUAAUUAAGAGUAUAACCUGCUCAAUGAAAUAAAUAGCCGCAAAUAUUUUUGUGCUAAGGUAGCAUAAUCAUUAGCUUUUUAAUUAAAAGAUAGAAUGAAUGGUUACAUGAAAUAAACACUGUAUCAUAAUAAUUAAUUUAACUUUAUUUACAAGUAAAAACGCUUUUAUAAAUUAAAUAAGACGACAAGACCCUGAUAAACUUAAUAUUUAGUUGGGGCAACUUAUUAAAACACACCUUCAAUUUUUAAAUCAAACAAACCUAUAAUAAAAGAAAAAGUUACUACAGGGAUAACAGCGCAAUUUUUUUUCAGAGUUCUUAUCAAAAAAAAAGAUUACGACCUCGAUGUUGAAUUAAUUUAUCUAUUUUAAGUAAAAAUAAUAAAAGACAGUCUGUUCGACUAUUAAAAAAUU
rnacentral:rRNA from 1 species